CCCACUUGGCAGAAAUCGCAUGAGAGGGGGGAAAUUUCUUCAUUCUCGCUACCCCUGACCCUCACUUUCGAGCGAUCGUACGACAAACUCCCCACUUGGCAGAAAUCGCAUGAGAGGGGGGAAAUUUCUUCAUUCUCGCUACCCCUGACCCUCACUUUCGAGCGAUCGUACGACAAACUCUCACUCCACCACCCUACCUCACUCACACACGCUCCCAUAUUCUAUGUAAACCCUCACCGCAACCUGCGUCACCAACCCACCCCACACCUGAACGGUCCCAUACUCGAAGUGUUAGACAAUUUUGGUUCCACACUUUGAAGCCUGUCGAGGAGUGUGGCACUAUAUUGUUUUUCGCUGUCUCCUUUCUUUCACUACAAAAUUGCUUUUGCCCUGUCUUUGGCGUAUUCAUAUGAGUUUGGCCUUUGCUGGAGGCGGAGGUGUGUGCGCAAGCGUUAUCGUGUUUUGUGAAGUGAUUCUUUGCUCCGUGAAUCCCAUCGAGUCGAUCAGCUGAUGGAAAGAGUUUGGCCGUGAAGCGGAAAGGGUGAAGCCGGAGUUAAACCGCAGGAUGGCAGGACAAAUCACAUCGGAGAGAGUGCUGAAUACUCGCCGUCUUGAGAGAAACCUCUGCCGAACAUAGGAACCCCAUCCCACCGUCCGCUUCGCAGAACGCCGGCAGUUUUUUUUACCUGUUCGUCCAGCGACCGCUUGCGCAUGAUGAGCGUAGGUGCAAUAAAAAAAGGGAUCGUA